CGAAAGCAGCCGCUAUUACUGGAACCCUAAACAAGAGCAUCCCGGGUUUCUUUCAGUCGAUUGCAGUCAAUACCGAAGGCGACCAAGUAGGGCUGGUGUAGACCUCUGCGACAGCGCCCCUUCCACUAACCAUUGUCCUGUGACUAUUGAGGCCAGUGUGUGGCUGAAAAGGAAACGAGAAAGCCAGGAAAGUAAUCUCUGGCAGAGGAGCGCCAUGCAGCUUGUGGUCCAGCCCGGAGAUAUCUGCUUAUCUCGCUGGCUUUUUCUGUGCGCCUAGGUUUGUGUUCCAAUGGGUGGCACACCUCCCUAGAGAAAGUCUGGCGCAUGUGCAGCUAAGUGGCUCAGAUGAUAGAGAAUGAGACCCAGAGAGGGGAGGUCCUGGGUUCAAAUAUGAAUUCAGACACUUCCCAGCUGUGUGACCCUGGGCAAGUCACUUAACCCCCACUGCCUAGCCCUUACCACUCUUCUGCCUUGGAAGCACCACUUGGGAUUGAUUCUAAAACGGAAGAAUUGAGCAAACAGGACCCCAAAUCCUCAGCAGAAACAGGAUCAGCAGCUGUCAUGUUGGUUGAUUGGAGACACCUGGCCCCUGAGGCUGGCAGUCAAAGCCAGCUUACUCAAAAGUUAUCCAAGUCUAGUGGCAAGACAAAUUCAAAACAACUGGUGAUGACUCAGGAUGCAGUGGAUGACCUUGGUUCUUUGAUCUCCAACCAAACUCUAUGA
rnacentral:lncRNA from 1 species